AGCGAACGUUAGCGGCGGGCCUAACACAUGCAAGUCGAACGCGAAAGGUCUUCGGACUGAGUAGAGUGGCGCACGGGUGAGUAACACGUAGGUAAUCUACCCUUUGGCGGGGGAUAACGUUCCGAAAGGAGCGCUAAUACCGCAUAAGACCACGGAGUCUCCGGACGCUGUGGGAAAAGGUGGCCUCUUCUUGAAAGCUACCACCGAAGGAUGAGCCUGCGUCCCAUCAGCUAGUUGGUAAGGUAAUGGCUUACCAAGGCGAAGACGGGUAGCUGGUUUGAGAGAAUGAUCAGCCACACUGGCACUGGAACACGGGCCAGACUCCUACGGGAGGCAGCAGUGAGGAAUAUUGGGCAAUGGGCGAAAGCCUGACCCAGCCAUGCCGCGUGUGUGAAGAAGG
rnacentral:rRNA from 1 species